AUUGAACGCUGGCGGCAGGCCUAACACAUGCAAGUCGAACGAGUGGCGGACGGGUGAGUAAUGUCUGGGAAACUGCCCGAUGGAGGGGGAUAACUACUGGAAACGGUAGCUAAUACCGCAUACCAUCGGAUGUGCCCAGAUGGGAUUAGCUAGUAGGUGGGGUAACGGCUCACCUGGGCAACGAUCCCUAGCUGGUCUGAGAGGAUGACCAGCCACACUGGAACUGAGACACGGUCCAGACUCCUACGGGAGGCAUCAGUGGGGAAUAUUGCACAAUGGGCGCAAGCCUGAUGCGGCCAUGCGGCGUGUAUGAAGAAGGCCUUCGGGUUGUAAAGUACUUUGAGCGAGGAGGCGUUACUCGCAGAAGAAGCACCGGCUAACUCCGUGCCAGCAGCCGCGGUAAUAG
rnacentral:rRNA from 1 species